rnacentral:rRNA from 1 species
UACGUAGGGUGCGAGCGUUGUCCGGAAUUACUGGGCGUAAAGAGCUCGUAGGUGGUUUGUCGCGUUGUUCGUGAAAACUCACAGCUCAACUGUGGGCGUGCGGGCGAUACGGGCAGACUGGAGUACUGCAGGGGAGACUGGAAUUCCUGGUGUAGCGGUGGAAUGCGCAGAUAUCAGGAGGAACACCGGUGGCGAAGGCGGGUCUCUGGGCAGUAACUGACACUGAGAGACGAAAGCUAGGGGAGCAAAUGGG